UGAAAGCACAACAAUCUCCACAACAAUCCCCUAGUCUAAACCGUGGUAAAACCUCUGAGAUACUAUUUCAGCUAAUAUGUCUCUGUCUAUUUUUUAUACUGUUCGUGUCUAUUUGCCUGUUGAUAAACGUUGCUUGCUUUAAUUCUUCAAAUACAGUAUCUCCCUACAGAUCUAGAGAAUAUGAACCAGCUUUGCCAAAGGUGCAACCUGGGUGUCAGAUGAAAACCCAAAAGAAAACCGGACAAAUGAAAUUCACAGUUCGAAGACACUUUCCCAAGUAGAGGAAUGGCUUAACGAUAAGAUUCUUCGGAAAGAUAUGUUUUAUCUUCGCAAAAUAAGUUGGAGGAAAGUAGGGGUAACAAAUAACGUGAAA